GCCGUAGGGCGCGAGCGUUGUCCGGAUUUAUUGGGCGUAAAGAGCUCGUAGGCGGCUUGUCGCGUCGACUGUGAAAACCCGGAGCUCAACUCCGGGCCUGCAGUCGAUACGGGCAAACUGGAGUGUUGCAGGGGAGACUGGAAUUCCUGGUGUAGCGGUGAAAUGCGCAGAUAUCAGGAGGAACACCGGUGGCGAAGGCGGGUCUCUGGGCAACAACUGACGCUGAGGAGCGAAAGCGUGGGGAGCGAACAGG
rnacentral:rRNA from 1 species